CUACGUGCCAGCAGCCGCGGUAAUACGGAAGGUCCGGGCGUUAUCCGGAUUUAUUGGGUUUAAAGGGAGCGUAGGCCGGAGAUUAAGUGUGUUGUGAAAUGUAGACGCUCAACGUCUGACUCGCAGCGCAUACUGGUUUCCUUGAGUACGCACAACGUUGGCGGAAUUCGUCGUGUAGCGGUGAAAUGCUUAGAUAUGACGAAGAACUCCGAUUGCGAAGGCAGCUGACGGGAGCGCAACUGACGCUUAAGCUCGAAGGUGCGGGUAUCGAACAGGAUUAGAUACCCUGGUAGUCCGCACAGUAAACGAUGGAUGCCCGCUGUUGGUACCUGGUAUCAGCGGCUAAGCGAAAGCAUUAAGCAUCCCACCUGGGGAGUACGCCGGCAACGGUGAAACUCAAAGGAAUUGACGGGGGCCCGCACAAGCGGAGGAACAUGUGGUUUAAUUCGAUGAUACGCGAGGAACCUUACCCGGGCUUGAAUUGCAGAGGAAGGAUUUAGAGAUA
rnacentral:rRNA from 1 species